CCACAUCCAAGGAAGGCAGCAGGCACGCAAAUUACCCAAUCCCAGCAAAUGGGGGAGGUAGUGACGAAAUCUAACGAUGCGGGCGCCCUUUCUGGGGCCCCGCAAUCGGAAUGGGCACUUUCUAAACAACCUGUUGAGAACCUACUGAAGGGCAAGUCUGGUGCCAGCAGCCGCGGUAAUUCCAGCUUCAGCAGCAUCUAUUAAAGUUGCUGCGGUUAAAAGGCUCGCAGU
rnacentral:rRNA from 1 species